AAAAGACCAAAGGGAGAGGAAAAAAAAAAGGUUAAAGAGGAGAUGUCGACAGCUGAGGGAUAUUAGGGGCCUAUGAUGCACCGGUACCCAUGAGGGUUCUCCCUGCGCAGCCACGUCCAAUCAUCCUCCCAGCCUUUUACCUUGUGAAAUUCAGUCUGUGAACUCUGGUUUAUCAGCCCUGGCCAAGACCCUGGGUCAGGAAGGCUUCGUAGACGUGGAGAGGUGGAAGAGGCACCCCAGAGGAGGUGGAGAGGGAGCAGUGCUAAUGACAGCACUAACGAGUCACCAGAGAGGCUACCAGCCCCAGCCUUUGGAUAGCAUGGAAAAGAGGACCAGGCAACAAUGUUUCUCAGCCCACUGGCACUCAACAGAUUUCCAGUGCUUGAGCAGAUGAACAGAUGAAGCUUCCCCCAGUGUGCUGGAUAGCUUUAGUGUCAACUUGGUACACCUGGGUUGAGGGAGCCUCAAUUGGGGAAUUACCUCCAUGGGACUGGACUAGGGACAUG